rfam:Schistosoma mansoni, Puerto Rico, WGS project CABG01000000 data, contig: 0171
AUCCAGCUGACGGGUCCCAAAUAGAAUGAGACGCGUGUCCUGGAU